GCAUUUCAGCGGAACGAAGCGGUGGAGGGGUUUAUCCUGGAGUCUUUCUUACCUUCUGGGCUGCACGACAUCCCUAUUUUCAUUUUAGAAAUGUUGGAGAGUAUGGAAUAGGCGCCCCCAGGGCUUUUUUCAUGCAGAACUCACUGGAAAUCAGUUCCGGCACGUCUCAGGUGGGCACCAUUGCCAUUCUAAGAGAACGAGGGAGGUGUUCGUGGUCUCCAGCCAAAGCAAAGUGUGCUGGGCUCUUCUUACCUGCAAGGAUACCUGCCAGGGCCACGAUCCAGGCACUGCCUCCUCUCCAUUGACAAUUCGG